rnacentral:rRNA from 1 species
GAUGAACGCUGGCGGCGUGCCUAAUACAUGCAAGUCGAGCGAACGGACGAGAAGCUUGCUUCUCUGAUGUUAGCGGCGGACGGGUGAGUAACACGUGGAUAACCUACCUAUAAGACUGGGAUAACUUCGGGAAACCGGAGCUAAUACCGGAUAAUAUUUUGAACCGCAUGGUUCAAAAGUGAAAGACGGUCUUGCUGUCACUUAUAGAUGGAUCCGCGCUGCAUUAGCUAGUUGGUAAGGUAACGGCUUACCAAGGCAACGAUGCAUAGCCGACCUGAGAGGGUGAUCGGCACACUGGAACUGAGACACGGUCCAGACUCCUACGGGAGGCAGCAGUAGGGAAUCUUCCGCAAUGGGCGAAAGCCCGACGGAGCAACGCCGCGUGAGUGAUGAAGGUCUUCGGAUCGUAAAACUCUGUUAUUAGGGAAGAACAUAUGUGUAAGUAACUGUGCACAUCUUGACGGUACCUAAUCAGAAAGCCACGGCUAACUACGUG